rnacentral:rRNA from 1 species
CACGUAGGGGGCAAGCGUUGUCCGGAUUUAUUGGGCGUAAAGAGCUCGUAGGCGGUUCGGUAAGUCGGGUGUGAAACCUCCAGGCUCAACCUGGAGACGCCACCCGAUACUGCUGUGACUAGAGUCCGGUAGGGGAGCGUGGAAUUCCGGGUGUAGCGGUGGAAUGCGUAGAGAUCCGGAAGAACACCGGUGGCGAAGGCGGGCUACUGGGCCGAUACUGACGCUGAUGCGCGAAAGCCAGGGGAGCAAACGGG